rnacentral:tRNA from 1 species
GGGGGUAUAGCUCAGUGGUAGAACACCCGCAUACGUAUCGGAAGGUCGGGGGUUCGACUCCCCCUGCCUCCA